rnacentral:tRNA from 1 species
CGCGGGGUAGAGCAAUUGGUAGCUCGCCAGGCUCAUAACCUGGAGGUCGUGGGUUCGAAUCCCACCCCCGCAA